rnacentral:rRNA from 1 species
GCGGCGCGCCUAACACAUGCAAGUCGAACGGACGAGAAGGAGCUUGCUCCUUCAAGUUAGUGGCGGACGGGUGAGUAACACGUGAGCAACCUGCCUUUCAGAGGGGGACAACAGUUGGAAACGACUGCUAAUACCGCAUGAUGCAGUUGGGUCGCAUGGCUCUGACUGCCAAAGAUUUAUCGCUCUGAGAUGGACUCGCGUCUGAUUAGCUAGUUGGCGGGGUAACGGCCCACCAAGGCGACGAUCAGUAGCCGGACUGAGAGGUUGAACGGCCACAUUGGGACUGAGAUACGGCCCAGACUCCUACGGGAGGCAGCAGUAGGGAAUCUUCGGCAAUGGGCGAAAGCCUGACCGAGCAACGCCGCGUGAAUGAUGAAGGCCUUCGGGUUGUAAAAUUCUGUUAUAAGGGAAGAACGACUUUAGUAGGAAAUGGCUAGAGUGUGACGGUACCUUAUGAGAAAGCCACGGCUAACUACGUG